rnacentral:rRNA from 1 species
CAAUCAAACCGGGAGAUAGCUGGUUCUCCCCGAAAGCUAUUUAGGUAGCGCCUCGUGAAUUCAUCUCCGGGGGUAGAGCACUGUUUCGGCUAGGGGGCCAUCCCGGCUUACCAACCCGAUGCAAACUGCGAAUACCGGAGAAUGUUAUCACGGGAGACACACGGCGGGUGCUAACGUCCGUCGUGAAGAGGGAAACAACCCAGACCGCCAGCUAAGGUCCCAAAGUCAUGGUUAAGUGGGAAACGAUGUGGGAAGGCCCAGACAGCCAGGAUGUUGGCUUAGAAGCAGCCAUCAUUUAAAGAAAGCGUAAUAGCUCACUGGUCGAGUCGGCCUGCGCGGAAGAUGUAACGGGGCUAAACCAUGCACCGAAGCUGCGGCAGCGAACGUAUCACCCAAGACAACUUUACGGAGUUGACGAUUGACGGAGCGAAGCGACGUCAAAGCGUUCAUUAAAGUCGAGUUGGCUUAGGGAUACGUUCGUUGGGUAGGGGAGCGUUCUGUAAGCCUGUGAAGGUGUGUCGUGAGGCAUGCUGGAGGUAUCAGAAGUGCGAAUGCUGACAUAAGUAACGAUAAAGCGGGUGAAAAGCCCGCUCGCCGGAAGACCAAGGGUUCCUGUCCAACGUUAAUCGGGGCAGGGUGAGUCGACCCCUAAGGCGAGGCCGAAAGGCGUAGUCGAUGGGAAACGGGUUAAUAUUCCCGUACUUGGUGUUACUGCGAAGGGGGGACGGAGAAGGCUAUGUUGGCCGGGCGACGGUUGUCCCGGUUUAAGCGUGUAGGUGUGUGUUCCAGGUAAAUCCGGUUCACUUUAACACUGAGGCGUGAUGACGAGGCACUACGGUGCUGAAGCAACAAAUGCCCUGCUUCCAGGAAAAGCCUCUAAGCAUCAGGUAACAUCAAAUCGUACCCCAAACCGA